rnacentral:rRNA from 1 species
UAAUACGAAGGGGGCUAGCGUUGCUCGGAAUUACUGGGCGUAAAGGGCGCGUAGGCGGCUCUGUGAGUCGGGCGUGAAAUUCCUGGGCUCAACCUGGGGACUGCGUUCGAUACGGCAGGGCUAGAGGACGGAAGAGGCUCGUGGAAUUCCCAGUGUAGAGGUGAAAUUCGUAGAUAUUGGGAAGAACACCGGUGGCGAAGGCGGCGAGCUGGUCCGUAACUGACGCUGAGGCGCGACAGCGUGGGGAGCAAACAGGAUUAGAUACCCUGGUAGUCCACGCCGUAAACGAUGUGCGCUGAAUGUUGGGGCUCUUAGAGCUUCAGUGUUGUAGCUAACGCGGUAAGCGCACCGCCUGGGGAGUACGGCCGCAAGGUUG